rnacentral:rRNA from 1 species
UACGUAGGGUCCGAGCGUUUGUCCGGAAUUAUUGGGCGUAAAGGGCUCGUAGGCGGUCUGUCGCGUCGGGAGUGAAAUCUUACAGCUUAACUGUGAACUUGCUUUCGAUACGGGCAGACUUGAGGCAUUCAGGGGAGAACGGAAUUCCUGGUGUAGCGGUGAAAUGCGCAGAUAUCAGGGAGGAACCGACCGGUGGCGGAAGGCGGGUUCUCUGGGAAUGAUCCUGACGCUGGAGGAGCGAAAGUGUGGGGAGCGAACAGG